rnacentral:rRNA from 1 species
CCUACGGGCGGCAGCAGUGGGGAAUAUUGCACAAUGGGGGAAACCCUGAUGCAGCGACGCCGCGUGAGUGAAGAAGUAUCUCGGUACGUAAAGCUCUAUCAGCAGGGAAGAAAAUAACGGUACCUGACUAAGAAGCCCCGGCUAACUACGUGCCAGCAGCCGCGGUAAUACGUAGGGGGCAAGCGUUAUCCGGAUUUACUGGGGGGAAAGGGAGCGUAGACGGCAGCACAAGUCUGGAGCGAAAUCCCGGGGCUUAACCCCGGAACUGCUUUGGAAACUGGGCGGCUGGAGUGCAGGAGGGGUAAGCGGAAUUCCUAGUGUAGCGGUGAAAGGCGUAGAGAUUAGGAGGAACACCGGUGGCGAAUGCGGCUUACUGGACUGUAACUGACGUUGAGGCUCGAAAGCGUGGGGAGCAAACAGGAUUAGAUACCCUAGUAGUC